GAAGCGGACCUGCACAAUCUAGCUGUUUCGCUUUGCAGUGGAGCUGAGGAGCGCUCUUGUAAUGUUGGAGGAGCAGUCGUACUGAGAUUGGUCAGAUGAGAGAUCGGCCAACCUGUGGCAGAGACCAAAGAAGGAGCAGCCACCCGGAACCCAUCCCUAGGGAUGGAAGCCGGACAAUGAUCUGCAGAUACCACGGAGAAAGAAGUGAAGGGUAAGAGCCCACCCCCGUUGUGAGAUGGAAAGCACCAAGAGCCGGGAGACCACAAGUGUUGUCGAUGCCAGCCUAUGGCGAUGCCGUCGAUCUGGGAGUGGAGCAGCCGUCACCAUCAGUGAGAUAAGUGUCUGGUUUGGGGAGGAUUCCGGUAACGGCCCAUCUGCCUCCAGGCUGAGACUUGUCAUUAGCUGGGGCUCGGUUUGUAGGAAAAGAUUCCUGACCUGCUGUGGUUAUGAGGGAGACAAGGUCCCCAUUUUCAGGGGCUGGUCUUUUCUCUAUCCACAAACAGUGUGUCCUAUGCAGCAGAAGGUUGGAUCGAGGAGGAUGACUCCAGCUGUUGAGUUUCUUGACUCCAUCCCACAUUUUUCUCUCUCUCUCCUCUAAUGUGUUGGCCAACACACACUGUCUCUCUCUCUUUUUCUCUGUCCUUGCCUCUGCUUGUGCUGUCUCCCUUCGUAGGACACGGGCAGGUGUGUUAGUUGUGCAUCCCCACAGGCUAGGUCUUGUGAGCCAUGAACAAGUAGGGGACCGAAAAGAUGCAGGACAGUGGGCGCUAGAGUGGAGCGGUGACUGUGGGUGUUGACUGAGUCUCUGCUCUAGUGGGGCUGAUGUGGAUGGGAUGGGAGAGGGAGGCAGGGAUGAGGGCAAGAUUUCACGCAUCAAUUGUAUUUUGUGUAGCGAUGGCUCUUGCUUGGCUUAUUUGCUGCACUUGCAGAGAAAUCAUCGGGGAGCAGCAGCAGGAGGAGAAACUAGCAGACGCGGACCUGGGCAGCCUGGACAUCCUUCUAAGCACAGAUUAACAGUCCUCAGCUUUCUGCCUUCCACGUAACUGGCUGACCAAGAGAAAAGAAGUGGAGGGUCAGCGUCGGCUCACCUCACGUUACGGAAAGCGAGUGAGAGCGACGAGAUUGCAAGCAUUUUGGAUGCCAGGCAAGAGCCGUCCAGCUGGGAGCGGAGCAGCCGCCACUGUCAAUGAGAUAAGUAUCUGUUUUGGUGAUUGCUCUGCUCACUGCCCACCUGAAUCCAGAUACAAAUGCCCCAUUAGCUGGGACUGGGUUUGUAACAAAAUAUUCCUGACUAGGUGUGGUUCUGAAGGAGACAAGGUCCCCAUUUUCAGGGGCUGCUCAUUUUUGUUCACAAGCGCUGUGUCCUCUGCAGAAAAAGUUGGAUCCAGGAGGUUGAUUCCAGGUGGCGAGUUGCUUGCCUUCCUCCUGUGUCUUUUUUUUUUUGUCUCUCUUCUCCAGUACGUUGGCCAACACACCUCCUUUCUCUUUCUGUCCUUGCUUUUCCUUGUGCCGUCUCCCUUCGUACGACACGAGCACGUGUGCUCGGUGUGCAUCCCCACAGGGUAGGUCUCGGGGGGCCAUGAUGAAGUAGGAGGGGACGAAAAUUGUGCAAGGUAGCGGGCGCGGGAGUGGAGGGGUGACUGUCAGUGUUAACUUGGUCUCUGUUCAUCAAGUUUGGCAGAUGUAGAUGGGCUGGAAGAGGGAGGCAGGGAUGAGGGCAAGAUUUCAAGCAUCAGUAGAGAUGUGUGUAGUGAUGGCUCAUGCUUGGCUUUUGCAGAUCCAUUUCCAGAGGAAUUUCCCAGGAGCCGUAGCCAGAGGAGAGGUUGGCAGAUGUGGACAUGAGGAAACUGAACAUCCUUCUGAGCAGACACGAACAGUCCUCGGCUUUCUGCUUCCCACAUAACUGGCUUUUGCAGAGGAAUCAUCCAGGAGCCCUCACCGAACGAGAAUAUGCAGAAGUGGAUGUGAGCAGCCUGGACAUCCUUCUAAGGAGACCUCAACAGUCCUCAGGUUUCUGCCUUCUGCCUAACUGGCUGUGAGUAAGCAUAGCAAGAGAAAAGAAGUCACAGGCCAGAGUCUACUGCCCUCGUGCAAUGGAAAGAGCAAGAGCGAUGAGUCUGCAAGCGUUGUUGAUGCGACGCAGAAGGCGUCCAUCUGGGAGCGGAACCGCCACCACUCUCAAUGAGAUAAGUGUCUUCUUUGGUGAUCGCUCUGCUCAAGGCCCAUCUUGCUCCCGGUAGGGACGCCCCGUUAGCUGGGGCUGGGUUUGUAAGAAAAGGUUCCUGACUAGUUGUGGUUACAAGGGAGACGAUGUCCCCAUUUUCAGGGGCUGCUCAUGUCUCUGGCUAGGACCAGUGUGUCCUCCGCAGCAUAUUAGAUUCAGGGGGAUGACUCCAGCUGGUGAGUUUCUUGACUCCCUCCCACGUUUUUCUCUCUCUCUCCUCUA